CUCCAGGAAGAAGGAACAACAUGUGCAAAGGCCUGGAGGUGAGAUAUGGUGCAUCCCUCAUGCUCUGUGGUUUGUUAUUGCUGAAACUAAUGUCUUUCGUGUUUUACCUGCCUUGACCUCUAGAAGAAUGCACAGAGAAGUUUAACACCUAUGCCGCUGUCAUCAUCUAUAUCACUCAGAGAUUUACGUGUUUGAAGGAGUUCUCUUAAUAUCAGGUUAAAGAUCUGGUGUUGUCACUGCUGGGGACACUGCUAUGGUGCAGGUUUGAUCUCUGGCCCGGGAAUUUUCAUAUGCGGCAGGUGCAGACAGAAAAAAAAGAGAGAGAGAGAGUUCGCUUCAAGUGUUUGGAAAAGUUUCUGUGUUUGUGAGUGAGACCCACACAGACACACAGAGUUAAACACAAUUACUUGAAGGCAGCAUUCUCCACAAUUUCGGUGAUGAUUCCAAUCUCAGGAAUCAGAACCUAUUUGGCAACCUCUGACCUGGAGGAAGCAAGCCCACUGGCUCUUUGACGCAGGUACCUUGGGAACAAAAUUUCCGCUGCAUUUUUCAAACAGCAAACCCAAGAUCCAGGCCCUGGGGCCAGCACUUUACCUGUGUGAUGUCAGCUAUGUUGUUUAUCCAUUUUCCCUUAACUCAGUCUGCAGGCUCUUUCCCGUGGAUAUAGAACGUAUCACAGGGAAAAACGUGCCUGACUUGGCACCCAGGGCUUCUGCCUGUUUGUUUGUUGCUCUUGCUGUUGUUUUGGAACCCUGAACGGAGGCUUUUUGUACCCGUGGCCUUGUGACUUGCAAGGGACUGUGACCAAAGGACUGCUCACACUGGUGAGGGGACAGGAUGCUCUCAGCCUUGGGACAUUGCAGCUAUUCCUUUCCGGCUCUUUGAUUUCAUCCUGUAUCUUAUUCAGCUUUGUUUGCAUCCUGUCUCUUUCAAACUAUGCCACAGAAUGACAUCAUCGCAAAGGUAUCUUCCCCCAGAUCUCCUGAAACAGAAAGAAGGAAAGAAAGAGGUAGAAAUUUCUCCUGGCAGCCAAAUGGAAACCAGGGUAGUGUCACUGUUCUUGGGCUUCCAGGUACUGUGACUUACGGGCAACUAUAGCUGCAAAAGAAUGCGCCACGACGGGAACUCCAAGUUUUGUUUUCUUACAUGUGAUGACCAGUGGUUCCAGCACCAUUUGUUGAAACAAUUAUUCUUUUCCCGUUAAAUUUCCCUGCCUUCUUUGUCAAAAACCAAUUGGUUUUCUAUGUAUGGGACAAAUUUUGAACUCUCUAGUCUGUUCUUUUGGUCUAUAUACCUAUCUUUAUACCAAGACCACUAUCUAUUAUUUUUACAUUUCACUUUUCUCCAUUCUGUUUUAUAUUCCAAACUAGAACCCAAGAUCUUUGAAGAAACUGCUCUGAUAGUCAGUUCAGGAAUGUUAUGAAGAUUAAAUUACAUGUGAAGAUAUCCAGCCCAGAGUCUGAUGUAUAUAGAUGCGUGAUAGAUGCCAGUUGCUUGUUAACAUAUCCAUGCGUUCUUCUGUUCGCCUUUUUUUUUUUUUUUUUUUUGUCUUUUUGCUUUUUCUAGGGCCCCU
rnacentral:lncRNA from 1 species